CAAUAGUGGCGCACGGGUGCGUAACGCGUAACCAACCUACCCUUGACUGGGGGAUAGCCCGCCGAAAGGCGGAUUAAUACCGCAUAAAACCACAGUUUGGCAUCAGACAAUGGUUAAAGAUUUAUUGGUCAAGGAUGGGGUUGCGUGCCAUUAGCUAGUUGGAGGGGUAACGGCCCACCAAGGCGACGAUGGCUAGGGGAGCUGAGAGGCUGGUCCCCCACACGGGCACUGAGAUACGGGCCCG
rnacentral:rRNA from 1 species